GCAGCAUACUCCUACGGGAGGCAGCAGUGGGGAAUCUUGGACAAUGGGGGCAACCCUGAUCCAGCCAUGCCGCGUGAGUGAUGAAGGCUUAGGGUUGUAAAGCUCUUUCACCUCGGAACGAUAAAUGACGUACCCAGAGACGCCCAGUCCGC
rnacentral:rRNA from 1 species